AGACGAUAUUCAAGAUACAGAGAGAAAAGUAUUGAUGGAGUACAAUGAAUUAAACCGUGCAAAGAUAGAAUUGGAGCAACGUGUGGAGGAAAUGGAAGCUGCUAAUUCUAGACAGGAAAAACUGGAAAAUGAGCUAAGGCAGGCUAAUCUGGUCUUAGUAUCUCAAGCUGCAGAAAUUGAAGAUCUAAAGUUUCGUUUCAACGAGAUAGAUCAGGAGAUAUCUGCUGCGCAAAUAGCCCUAGUUUCAAAAGAAGAUGAAAUAAAUAAAAUGAUGAUUGAGUUGAAGAAUAAAUGUGAUGAAGCGG
rnacentral:misc_RNA from 1 species